AUUGAACGCUGGCGGCAGGCCUAACACAUGCAAGUCGAGCGGAGCGGCGGACGGGUGAGUAAUGCCUAGGAAUCUGCCUGGUAGUGGGGGAUAACGUCCGGAAACGGGCGCUAAUACCGCAUACUAUCAGAUGAGCCUAGGUCGGAUUAGCUAGUUGGUGGGGUAAAGGCCUACCAAGGCGACGAUCCGUAACUGGUCUGAGAGGAUGAUCAGUCACACUGGAACUGAGACACGGUACAGACUCCUACGGGAGGCAGCAGGGGGGAAUAUGGGACAAUGGGGGAAAGCCGGAGCGAGCCAGGCCGCGUGUGUGAAGAAGGUCUUCGGAUUGUAAAGCUCUGUAAGUUGAGAAGCGUGACCAACAGAAUAAGCACCGGCUAACUCCGUGCCAGCAGCCGCGGGAAGAC
rnacentral:rRNA from 1 species